AGUGGGUUUGGUUAGGACAGAGGUAAUACUGUGUUCCAUUUACCUCGGAACUCGAAAGUCAGAGCUGGGAAUGAUGUCACACCCGAGUUGAAUGCGUUUGAAUUUGGAUUUUAAUUGUUUUCAUUAGCUCUAGCCAGGUUAGCCAUUGUUAGCUAUACCAGUUGAUCUGAAGACGCAUUACGCUGUUUCACAAACAGUGUAGCAACAGGUUGACAGAUAGAAUAUAGACAGGUCUGUGAGUAUGAAUGAUUCAGUGAGACACAAAUCAGACAGAAGUGCUAAUAAACUGUUACUGUUACCACAGCAUUCACUACUGUUGAUGCACAGGGCAGCCAUGUUGGAUUUUUAGCUUGUGGUACUGCAAGGUUGUCUGAGUUCUGAGCUCGGAAAUCCGAGGUCAGGGACGCGUUUCCAACUUUAACCUCGGAAAGCCGACCUCCGAGAACAAAUGGAACGCACUGUAAUUGGGCAGGUGUGUGGAGGUGUGACAGUUGGUGUGUGUACCACGAAGUGCAACACCACAAAUGCCCUAAAGUGUGUCCCUUGUUUUACUAUUCUUCUCAUCACCAGAAGCAAUAUAAAGACUUUGGAUCCAGCUGACAGUUGACCUCCAAGUGUGUGUGUGUAUUUCAAGUGUGUGGUGGGUUCUAACAAAGAGUGUGAACUGUAAUUUACCCAAUGAGGGAUCAUUAAAAAUGAAUUAUCUUAUUAUCAAAAAUAUAUGUGUUGAACAGAA